CUCUCGGUCUCUUCCUCUCGAAGCUUCCCCUCCCGCAGCCUCUAUCGCUCCGCCUCGAUCUAGCCCAGCGCCGCCCCUUCCUCCGGCGCUGCCCCUGCUUCCGGCGCCGCCUCCUCCCCGCCCUCCCCCUCCUCCCCCACACGCGCCAUGCGGCGCGCACCAGCCUGCGCCGACGGACAACGACGGCGCGCCCCAACCCCGUUGCCUCCGCUCGGCGUCGUGUGAUGUCCGCCCUACGUCAAUCGGCAUGCUGGCGCAAACGCCAGCACCAACUCCGCCUCCAUCUCGCUGCGUGAUAAUUUGUCCAAGGAUCCAAUCCUGCUUCCACCGCUUCGGUAGAUUUUCCCAUGUUUGAUAAUCUGCUUUGUUCUGUGUCCAUGGACCCACAGGCCGCAGCAAUGUUGGUAGUAUGCUCUCCCUCGCCCAGCACCUCCAGUCGCGCAACCCCGCUGCAGCAACCUUGAAAUUGCUUAAAUGAGUUGUCGUGGAGGUUGUGAAAAGGAUGAGUUAUCCCUAGUAGCAGAUAUACUGGCUCAGGAUAUUCAUUAGCUUCCCAUGAGGAACUAAAGGAAGGAAGACAGAUAAGCCGUGUUGAGCUCUAUAGUAACACAUACAGAACAAAUGGGCAGCCAAUUGAUGACUAAAGCUUUGAAAAAAUACAGCUUGAUUAUUUGUCAGUCAUAAAACAGAUGAUGCUGGUGCUCGUUUAAUCAACUUGAUUCAGAGAUAUAUCAGCUCUGGGUUAUCUGAAUCAUGGAAGCUUUCUCCCUCUACUUCUUUAUCUACAUCUUUUGUUGCACUACUUCCAUUUGCAUCAUUUAAGAUUGGGGACCUACACAAAAGGACUUGGGAAUAUCAUUUGAAGAUAGA